rnacentral:rRNA from 1 species
UACCAGCACCCCGAGUGGUCGGGACGUUUUAUUGGGCCUAAAGCAUCCGUAGCCGGUUCUGCAAGUCUUCCGUUAAAUCCAACUGCUUAACAGAUGGGCUGCGGAGGAUACUAUAAGACUAGGAGGCAGGAGAGGCAAGCGGUACUCAGUGGGUAGGGGUAAAAAUCCGUUGAUCCAUUGAAGACCACCAGUGGCGAAGGCGGCUUGCCAGAAUGCGCUCGACGGUGAGGGAUGAAAGCUGGGGGGAGCAAACCGG